AGUGAACGCUGGCGGUAGGCCUAACACAUGCAAGUCGAACGGCAGCACAGUAAGAGCUUGCUCUUACGGGUGGCGAGUGGCGGACGGGUGAGGAAUACAUCGGAAUCUACUUUUUCGUGGGGGAUAACGUAGGGAAACUUACGCUAAUACCGCAUACGACCUACGGGUGAAAGCUGGGGAUCUUCGGACCUUGCGCGAUUGAAUGAGCCGAUGUCGGAUUAGCUAGUGGGCGGGGUAAAGGCCCACCAAGGCGACGAUCCGUAGCUGGUCUGAGAGGAUGAUCAGCCACACUGGAACUGAGACACGGUCCAGACUCCUACGGGAGGCAGCAGUGGGGAAUAUUGGACAAUGGGCGCAAGCCUGAUCCAGCCAUACCGCGUGGGUGAAGAAGGCCUUCGGGUUGUAAAGCCCUUUUGUUGGGAAAGAAAAGCAGCAGGUUAAUACCCCGCUGUUCUGACGGUACCCAAAGAAUAAGCACCGGCUAACUUCGUG
rnacentral:rRNA from 1 species